CACGUAGGGUGCGAGCGUUGUCCGGAAUUAUUGGGCGUAAAGAGCUCGUAGGCGGUGUGUCGCGUCGGCCGUGAAAACCUGCAGCUUAACUGUGGGCUUGCGGUCGAUACGGGCAUCACUGGAGUUCGGCAGGGGAGACUGGAAUUCCUGGUGUAGCGGUGAAAUGCGCAGAUAUCAGGAGGAACACCGGUGGCGAAGGCGGCUCACUGGCCCGGUACUGACGCUGAGGUGCGAAAGCGUGGGGAGCAAACAGG
rnacentral:rRNA from 1 species